CACUAUUGUCUAUACAUACCAUUUUCUUCUAGGGAGUAUGGAGAUGUUUCCUUACCUAUUAACAUGACUUGGUGUUGUUAUUAUCUCAUCAGCUUUGCCCACUUUCAAGUUUUUCUUCUGUACUCAAAAGCUUUAACUGAGCUGAUUGAUUGUCUUCACACUGUUUACACCUUCUAUGAUUACUGGUAUUGAUCAUGUUCCUUCUGGAUCUAGGUGAUUGAUUGUAAAACUCAGCAAAGCAGGCUCUUCCCAUUGCUGGCUUCGGCCUGUGCUUUCAGGUUUGUUGGUGAGUGGUUGAAAUGGCUGUACACGGAUGUGACAGAGAUUGCAAGCGAAUGAUUUCUCAACAUUGCCUGAGGCUCAUGUAUUCACUGCUGGUUUGAAGUCUUUGACAAACACUGCGAUUGUUGUUGCUUCAAAUCAUUAUGGUUAUUCUGUUAUUGUAUUUGGUGAACUCAUGGAAUUCCAUGGAACUGAUUGAAUGGAAGGAGCUUCUGUUGUUCAUAAAAGUCAUGUUUUUGAUUUUUUAGAUGAAUUGGGUGUGUGAAAUUGCAUGGAACUGAUCAAAUGAACAUGGAAUUUCUAUUGGGAAGAAACACCGACUCCUCAGAAGGCCAUAGACGGUAUGGUCAUUGGAUUCUCCGCAAGUUGUAAGAGUUCCUGUCAUACCUUUUAGUAAAUUUGUUUUUUUUUUUUUGAUUCUCCAUAGACAUUAAGUUUUCUUCUUGUUGUUGGUUUUUUUUGGAUUCUCCAUAUGAAAUUAUGAGAAAUCAUGCCUAAAACAUUUAAAAGCAUUUGUUGGAGCCCACCUAAGUUUUGAAAUAGCCUAAAAUCUGUUGUGACCCCUUAUCUAAGUCACAAUGAAUGGCCUAGAUGUAUAAACCACAUCUCGUUGGGUCCGCUGUACAAAAAAAAAAGAAGAAGAAAAAGGUUUUAAUGGAUGUGCAUCCACUCUUAACCAUUGUUUAUGUUGUUGCUCACCUAAGUUGUGGAUUUGCCUCAUUUUUAAGCCCAUGGCUCACCAUGAAAGGGUAUAUCUAAUUCAUGGGAUAGAUGUCUUCAAAUUUUGAGGAUGUGUUGCAAGAAGAAAACCUUUACUUGAUUACUGAGGCUAUUAUCAUUUUGCAGAAAUAUUUUAGACCAAUGAAAUUUUAAUAUGAUUGAAAUGGACGGACA